AGAGUUUGAUCCUGGCUCAGAACGAACGCUGGCGGCGUGCCUGAGACAUGCAAGUCGUGGGAGAAAGUCGGGGCAACUCGGCGAGUAAACCGGCGCACGGGUGAGUAACACGUGGGCAACCUGCCUUGGAGACCGGGAUAACCCGUCGAAAGACGGGCUAAUACCGGAUAAGACCCCGGGUAGUUCGCUACCUGAGGUAA
rnacentral:rRNA from 1 species